rnacentral:rRNA from 1 species
UACGGGGGGGGCAAGCGUUGUUCGGAAUUACUGGGCGUAAAGGGCGCGUAGGCGGCUUUUUAAGUCAGACGUGAAAUCCCCCGGCUUAACCUGGGAACUGCGUCUGAUACUGGGAAGCUUGAGUUCGGGAGAGGGAUGUAGAAUUCCAGGUGUAGCGGUGAAAUGCGUAGAUAUCUGGAGGAAUACCGGUGGCGAAGGCGGCAUCCUGGACCGAAACUGACGCUGAGGCGCGAAAGCUAGGGGAGCAAACGGG